GCCACCCAGGAGAAGUCCAGGGGACCCAACCUCGUUGCAGAGGGGGGCAAUGAGAGAUCUUUGUAAAGAACCUCAUCUAAUGGCUGGCUGCAGGAUAAGCCCAGAGAAGAAGCUGAGGGGAGCAUGAAGAGCUUUCAACAUCCAGAAGAAUGUGUGCAAAGGCCCUGGGUGAGAAGACAGAAGGAUAACGCUCCCAGCAUGCUCGAGGAAAAUACAUGUCCUUGGACACACACGUCCCCUGAAAACCGCGACAUUGGGACAAGACUAGAGACAUCCCUAUCCUGCCUGGCCAUCAAGCACCUCAGCCCAGAAAAAUGCACAUCAAAACCAGGGUGCGACAUCAGGCCUCUGACUCCCAGCCCAGGAAUCUAACACUGAGCCACAACCCCAAAGCUGAGUCAAGUUGAGUCACGGAAAGAAAACAGAUGAGUCAUCCAGGAGCCAGAGGGAAUGACGGGUAAGCUGCAUCCAGAAUUGCCAUCUGAAAUUAGCUCCUCUUGCCUCAGUUUCCCAUAAUCUCAGAACUCGUGUUCUAGUAAAAGAAAUAAAUCAUGACUAAAUAAACUGAAAAUAAACCAACGGAGAAAAUGGCAAGGGCAAAGAAACACGGUGCCCAUCAGACUGGCAGGGCUUCCUGAGAAGACAUUUAAGCUGAGGUGAGAAGGAAGAGGAGAAAACCAGGGGAACGAACAGCGUGUUCUGGGGAACAGGCCUGUGUUUGCUUGUGAGACAGGGCCCGGAGCCCUUCCCCCAGCUAGACCCCGCUUUGUCCUCAGAGCCGGCAAGAGGCUAUCACUCACACCAAUAAAAGCACCCGUUAACCUUGAGUGAGACCUCAAUUAGCCACAGGUCUUAACUCC